rnacentral:piRNA from 1 species
CACCGCCAUUUUCUAGGAACUGGGAAGC